rnacentral:misc_RNA from 1 species
UAACGAUACUUUAGAUACCGGUAUUUUUCACCCAUUUUACCGUUAUAUUUUUUACCGGUAAAAACUCAGUUAACGUUAUUUUUAACGUUACUUAUCUAUACCGUUACUGUUAAUUGCUACUGUUAACGUUAUAGGUAACGAAAUUAUUACGCUCGUACAAUGUAAGAAAGAGACAGAUUAGAUUUGUAAUUUUCUUUAUUGGUUUUUGAAUUAUUACAGAAUACGCCGUUUGUUUAGUGUGCACAUAUGUGAUCUAUUUUUAAAACAGUGAUGGAAUAUGAAAUAAGCCGUUCGUUGUGUAUUAUGUGUAAUACUGUAUCCAUAUAGCUUUAGAAUUAGUGCAAUAUAAAUUGGAAGUACUUAAUUACAAUUACGUAAUUACACAUGCAUUAUUUAGAAGUUAAGUAUGAGUAGCUUUCUUAAAAGUCAACACGGACUGUUUUUGUAGACCAAUGAAAGAAGAACAAUUCUACCAUACAUUAUUUGUUACAUGUCAAAGUGUUUAUGCAGUGUUUUCGAUAAAACUUUUUUUUUUACAACUAGGUCGGCAAACUGGCACUAGUUACUUUCAGAUUUUCGGACUUAUACUUUUAAAAGUCUUAUUAAGACAUGAAGAUUUUUUAAGAUUUUUUUUCAACAAAUAUUAAAACCAGGUUAGCGAUUUCCGUAGAUUACAGCCCUGCAACACCAGCAGCAUCACAAGCGUUUUGUUUACCAUAUGUCUAUUGCUUAAUUUAUGCAUUUAAAAGUUCGCAAAACAAAUCCAGUCAAGGUCAGAUAAUAUAAAACUUGCGUAAACAUUAGAAAUCAAUAUGUGAAUUAGAUAGUAAGUAUAAUUAAAAAUUGUUAUGCAGAAACUAAACGUUAUAAACUUUUUCUUAAAUAAUAGAUCUAAUAAUUCCAAUGAUUGCUUUUAAAAGUUCAAUGAUUAUUUUUUGUAUAAACUUAUAAAGUCUGAUCGUCUCUUAUUGAAUAUCAUAUAUAUUAAUACCUACGCUAAGGUUUAAGAUGUUUGCCUCCCUUUUGGGAAAAAACCUCAUAGGUAAUUUCUCAACAUAAAUUAUGUAUCAUUUUAUUAUAGAUAAUUGCUUGCUCUACUGACAUCAACAACUAAAAAUUUAUGAUUGCUUUUGUUUUGUAAAUUAAUUAAUUAUUAAAAUUAUAUAGGUAUAUGACUGCUUUAAUUUUGAAACAAGGUCAACAUGAUUGACGGUCCGUAAUUUUUUUAUUGUUCAAUUUCAAAUCAAUUCACGUACCUAUAAUAAUACUUUUUUGUAAUUUUGUAAACUGAUAAUUAUUAUACUUAUUUAGUGCGAAUUAUUUGCACGGGUAUAUCUAGUAAAGGGUAUAAUACUACAAAGAUAAAAUUUACCAGGUGACUGUAGGUACUCGAACCGAAGCAGAAAUUAAUAAUAUGUAACCAAGAGCGGAUCCAGCAAGAAGUUAUAAUUUAAUUAUUAAUUUUAAUAAUAAUAUACACGUAAAAAGUAGAUAUUUUAAUUUUAAUGUAGGUAUGUAAGUACUGCACUUAAAAAUUAAAAUAAAUCCUAAAAAAAAAUAAUUAAAAUAACCCGUAAAAAUAUCUGAAUCCGCCCUUGUGGCUUGUAUGUAACCAUGCACUUGCAAAAGGAGGAAAUAUUUUAGAAGGUAUCCCGGAAAACAGCUUAUCAGAAUUUCUAAAUGACAGUAAUUGAAUCUUAUAUGCAUUGAUCUAUAAAAAACCUUUUAUUAUUAAUUUUUAUAUGAGUAUAUGUAACAGCUAUGAAAAAAUAAAUAAAACAGUUAGAUUUUAGUUGUUUUAUUUUUUAAUAAACAUACAAAUAUGUUAAUAUUAUAUAUAUACAUACAUAUACAUAAAGUAAUUAACAAGCUAAAUCUAAAAUAUUUAUUAUAAAUAUAUCUUAAUGUAUAAUUUGGAUAUAUUUUAUCUAUGUCUGAUGAUGAUGAUGAUGAUGAUUGAUGAUAUAAUUUGGAUAUAUUAUUAAAAUAUCCGCCAACCCGCAGUGGAGCAGCGUGGUGGAUUAAGCUCCAAUCAGGCAGUGGGAUGAUACAGACAAUGCGACAUGCGAAUGCAAGUAAAUAUAGUAAAUAACUAAUAAAUUUACCUGUAAAUAUUAUUUUGCUUAGUAAUGCUUUGUUUAACCGGCAAAUUGAUUUAAUUCGGUCUUUUUUAUUUGUCUUAAUUUUGAUUAAAUUUGUUUUUGUUUGUUUUGAUGUUUAAGUCUGAUUUUAAUUUUAUGUUAUUUAAUCUAUUCUAUUUUAAUUUUAAUUAUUUUGUUUGAUAUUUGUGUUUCAAUUUAUGAAAAUUAUAUGUAUUUACUGACUAAAUUUUGAUUAGCUUAAUUUAACUUGAUUGGAUUUUAUACGAUAUAAUAGGUUUUUAGUAUUAUUAAAUGUAAUGUAAAUUGAUGUCAUUUAAUUUGUUUUGUUAGAUUCAUAACAACUUGUUGGUUUUACUAAUUAAUUCAAAUUGAUGUAUCUCGUCUGGGCUUAGUUUAGUUUGAGUUCAUUUUAUGAAUUACUGGCGACCCGCCCCGGCUUCGAUCAAAACAAAAGAUAAACAACAAUUAUCAACAAAAAAAGAUAUGUACCUAUUCUAUUGAGUUCUUUUUUUGAACUGAAAUACUUAACCUUAAAGUUUGAUUUUCGAUAGUUAAAAAUACUUGCCCUAAUGAUAAAGUGCUUCAAACCAGAAGAAAUACAAUUGAUAAAUUAUGAUUUUAAUCUAAUCCUAUCCAACCUAGGUGACCGAUCUUAGCUUAGUAUUUUUAGUAAAUCGUGUUUUUUUGAAAUCAUAUUUAAAUACGGAUUACAUAUUGAUAAAAUAUGAAUAAUAUUUUCCGAUUUUACCGUAAUAAUAAUAAAAAUAUGAACUGGUUAUUUAAAUAAAAAAUCAUGAGUGCAAUUAGAAAAAAAAAGAAAAAACAAUCGAUCCUGGAGACAGGGGUUUGAACUCUGAUCUUCUAGAUCACUCCCGACCGGCCGACUUCCCACCGAGCUGUUACAACUUUAUUAACAAUUUUGAAAUUUACCUUCAUAUUAUAACAAUAUUGUAGCUAUUUUUCCAGUGCCUAAAAACCGGGAUAAAACGACAUUUUCUA